rnacentral:rRNA from 1 species
CACUAAGAAAAAAAAAAAAAAAAAGAGAGAGAGAGAAAAAUGGGCCAGA